rnacentral:hammerhead_ribozyme from 1 species
AUCCAGCUGACGAGUCCCAAACAGGACGAGACGCAUAUCCUGGAU